rnacentral:rRNA from 1 species
UGGGGAAUAUUGCACAAUGGGCGCAAGCCUGAUGCAGCCAUGCCGCGUGUAUGAAGAAGGCCUUCGGGUUGUAAAGUACUUUCAGCGGGGAGGAAGGGAGUAAAGUUAAUACCUUUGCUCAUUGACGUUACCCGCAGAAGAAGCACCGGCUAACUCCGUCCCAGCAGCCGCGGUAAUACGGAGGGUGCAAGCGUUAAUCGGAAUUACUGGGCGUAAAGCGCACGCAGGCGGUUUGUUAAGUCAGAUGUGAAAUCCCCGGGCUCAACCUGGGAACUGCAUCUGAUACUGGCAAGCUUGAGUCUCGUAGAGGGGGGUAGAAUUCCAGGUGUAGCGGUGAAAUGCGUAGAGAUCUGGAGGAAUACCGGUGGCGAAGGCGGCCCCCUGGACGAAGACUGACGCUCAGGUGCGAAAGCGUGGGGAGCAAACAGG